rnacentral:rRNA from 1 species
UACGAAGGGGGCUAGCGUUGCUCGGAAUCACUGGGCGUAAAGCGCACGUAGGCGGAUUGUUAAGUCAGGGGUGAAAUCCUGGAGCUCAACUCCAGAACUGCCUUUGAUACUGGCGAUCUUGAGUCCGGGAGAGGUGAGUGGAACUCCGAGUGUAGAGGUGAAAUUCGUAGAUAUUCGGAAGAACACCAGUGGCGAAGGCGGCUCACUGGCCCGGUACUGACGCCGAUGUGCGAAAGCGUGGGGAGCAAACAGG